rnacentral:misc_RNA from 1 species
GAUGAAGAACGUAGUGAAAUGCGAUAAGUAAUGUGAAUUGCAGAAUUCAGUGAAUCAUCGAGUCUUUGAACGCACAUUGCGCCCCCUGGUAUUCCGGGGGGCAUGCCUGUCCGAGCGUCAUUGCUGCCCUCAAGCACGGCUUGUGUGUUGGGCUCUCGCCCCCCGCUUCCGGGGGGCGGGCCCGAAAGGCAGCGGCGGCACCGCGUCCGGUCCUCGAGCGUAUGGGGCUUCGUCACCCGCUCUGUAGGCCCGGCCGGCGCCCGCCGGCGAACACCAUCAAUCUUAACCAGGUUGACCUCGGAUCAGGUAGGGAUACCCGCUGAACUUAAGCAUAUCAAUAAGCGGAGGA